rnacentral:rRNA from 1 species
UACGUAGGGUGCAAGCGUUGCCCGGAAUUAUUGGGCGUAAAGAGCUCGUAGGCGGUUUGUCGCGUCUGCUGUGAAAACUCGGGGCUUAACUCCGGGCCUGCAGUGGGUACGGGCAGACUAGAGUGCGGUAGGGGAGACUGGAAUUCCUGGUGUAGCGGUGAAAUGCGUAGAUAUCGAGAGGAACACCUGCGGCGAAGGCGGGUUGCUGGGCUGACACUGACGCUGAUGCGCGAAAGCCAGGGGAGCAAACGGG